UCAAUUGGUUGAGUGUUUGUCUGGCAUUC
rnacentral:piRNA from 1 species